UUUGUCCCAAUACUUAUAUUUCUUUGUAUAUUUAGGUUGUCCCACAAGUUGUCAACAAAAAUAUUGUACAAAUAUGAGGAUUUUUUACAAUGAAGUGGUACUCCAAAUAUCAUAUAUCGACAAGGACGAGAGGUCUUCUCCUCUUGGUGGUGAUGGCGAUAUUGACACUUUACUAAAUUGUGAUGCAAGGAAGUUAAAGAUCAUCCCAAAGAUUGUCACGCAAGUCUUUAAUUAUGCAACCAUGAAUAAAAAAUUGUUCUAACUUGCCGUGACAGCGGAAAUCAUGUGUAUAUGAAGGCAGGAGUGAUUGUUUUCCACCUAGCCGGAGCGAGCAGACGUCGCAGACAGCUGCUGCUCUCAAAUUAAACCAUCUUGACAUACAUCAUGAUUAUGCAGAAUCAUAAAAGUUUGAUUUGUAUUUCACUUAAGAGUUCACUUCUCUCAAGAAAAGAAUGUGCAUUACCAACUGCUGACAUGCAUAGAGGAGGUAAAUCCUUCAAUGAGAGGGACUGAAUGUGCAGGAUCAGAAAACCUUUGCAAUGAUGUUUUGGUGCAUAUGGCGUCGUUAAAAUGAAAAAGUCUGGCACAAUCAAACGAAGAAGCAACAAUUUCAGUUCAUGACACGCAUGACGUGCAAUCUGAUUGGCAGAGCAGCUGCACGCUAAGCACAGUGCAGCAGCUGCAAACAGUAGCACUGACAAUUUUAGCAGCACUAUUGGAGUUUCAUGGUGGACUAAGCCAGCUAAUAGAGAGAUAAAAUGCAAUGUCGACAGAACAUCUCUUUCACAGUUACCGUAUUUAUCAUAUAACCAUAUAAUCUUCAUAACCCAAAGAGUGGUGAUCACCGCUAUUCAGGAACAAGUUUUUAUUGUGUUAUUCUUCAAUGUUAAAUCACCGCUAUUUAGGACUAAUAUUGAGUUGUCUAAAAUGUGUUAUUUGUGGCUGCACUACACUUCAAAUGUUGUUUACAAACCGCAAUAUACUAACAUGAACUCAAUUUAAUUGUAUUUUAUUAGUCACAUCACAUUGGUACUAAAGCACCUUUUUUUUAUAUUUAUUUGAAUGAUGUAUUUGCCGUCAAUAUGACCCGUGCGGCAGCACGGGUGCAAGGUCUAGUACUAAUGAGUAUGACAGAACAAUAGUGGUGUGUUCAAAUUCCACUGUUACCGUCCCAUAGGUUGGUAUGAGGCGAUAGUUUAAUGCAGCAGCAAUUAUGUUGUUACCAUCAUG